UACGGGGGGGGUAAGCGUUGUUCGGAAUUACUGGGCGUAAAGGGCUCGUAGGCGGCCAACUAAGUCAGGUGUGAAAACUCCAGGCUCAACCUGGAGACGCCACCUGAUACUGCUGUGGCUAGAGUCCGGUAGGGGAGCAUGGAAUUCCUGGUGUAGCGGUGAAAUGCGCAGAUAUUAGGAGGAACACCGGUGGCGAAGGCGCCACUCUGGGCCGAAACUGACGCUGAGGAGCGAAAGCGUGGGUAGCAAACAGG
rnacentral:rRNA from 1 species